GAGGGCGUAGCGCAACUGGAUAGCGCAAGGGAUUUCUACUCCCUUGGUUGGGGGUUCGAGUCCCUCCGCCUUUGCCA
rnacentral:tRNA from 1 species